ACACAGCUUAGCAGGCAGCCGGGCUUCUGAAUCCAAGGCUGGGGCUCUUCACCAUCACACCAGAGACUCAGAAAACUGGGGAAAAGGGGCAGAUUCUAGAUCAAGUUAACAGACUCCUGGAAAGAAACUUCAGGAUUGGAGGUGAUAGGUAUGGGGGCAAAACUCAGAUGCGAAGACGGGGCGGGGGUAAGAUUUGCACCAUAGGCAGAAAAGCCCGCAGGGAAGGGCUAGAGACACCUAGGGAAAAGAAGACUCGGAAACUCAACGAGACACGAACAAAUCCUGACAGACACAGACACGACAGACAGAGGAGAGAGAGACCCGGGACAGACACACAAACACACUCCUAUCUCCAAACCCUUUUCUAAGUUCACUGAAACAGGCACAGGCAGAGGCCCACAGGAAACAGACGCUGACAGACACACAGACACGAGAGAGACAGACACAGACAACCGACACGGGGGCAGUCAAGGCCGACACAGGAGCAGAGACACAAAGGCCGCCAGAGACACCCAGAACUGGCCAGACGCGAGCCCGCGCGCGCCGCGGCCCAGGCCCGAACACCCGGAGCAGGCGGGCCAGCGUCCCCCGCGCUCCGCCCCGCGCUCACCUCGGCCCCCUCACGCCGGGCUCUGGGGGGUCAUGGCGGUCAGCCCCCUGCCCCGCUCGGCCUCGGUGUCGCGGGACGUGCGCCGGGCCACGGGCGCACGCACGAACGCAAGGAGGGCCGCACGCCGACGGCUCCGCCGCCCCGCCGCCCAGAAGGGGCGCGGAGAGCCGGGCGGGGGAGGGGAGCCGCCGAGGAGACGGGAAGCAACAGAAGGAGGCGACGGACCGGAAGCGGAAAUUGCCGCGCUCCCCGCCCUCCCGUGCCGCACCCCGCCCUGGCAGGAGUCGCUUCCGCAGCCAAGCCAACCUGGAAGGCAUCACUUCCGGCGCGCUGGGCCCCGUUGCUAGGCGCCUCUACGUCACUUCCGCCCGCUGCAGCGGGGGAUCCGCGCGGUGCUCACGGAACGCCGAGAGUCAGCUCCAGCUCGCUUGGCGGCAACCGCGGAGCUCCUGGCACACCCACGCCACGCCCGCCCCGGCCCGCUCGGCCACCAUCCCUCCUGUCGGCGGGGUGGGAGAGCACUCGGGAACCUCACGUCCCCCGGGGCUGUGCCUGUGCCGACCCCGAGAAGGGCACCGCGCAAGCAGGGAAGGCCUCGAGGCUGCCGGCGCCGGCAGCAGGGGCGUCCCAGCCAGGGGCCCGCAGUUUGCCAAGGGAACCCCCACCCGAGCCCAGAACCGAGGAAGAGGGUCGGACAUACUGGACACACAGCCGCUCCAUAAAGUAAAAUACAACAAAAUGUUUAAUGAGCAAAUUCGUCUUAGCAAAUAUGAAACUGCCACAGAGAGGAGGAGGGGGGGAAGGAACAGUGGAAUAUGGGUGGGGGUGUAGAAGUCAAUAGUAAGAACAGAAGCAAGAGAGAAAAUGGGGAGGAAGCAGUAGCAAGAGACGGCCAAGGGCAGGCGAUGGACAGGCGUUGGGGGACAGCCACAGGGGCCCCAAAAAAUCAGGGGAAAGGAGAAGAUUGUUCAAGAAAAGGCAGAGGGCAUGAUGACAACACAAAAUGAAGAAAAACACGAAACACAAGAGAUGAAGAGACAGAGCACACAGGAAGGGCCACCCAGUGGAGACAGACAGAAAAGUGGCAGGAAAGUAGAAAGGAAGUGGCAGGCAGGGGCAGAGACGAGCAAAGGACAGAAAGGGAGAGCAGGACAGAGACGAGCGAGGAGGAGGAAGUCAAGAGUGCAGGGGCAGGAGAGGAGGAGUGUAGGGAGGAGGGGCAGGGACGGGAGGGGAGGAGAAAAGAGUGAUGUGGAGGAAUCUGGCCCU
rnacentral:lncRNA from 1 species